GCCUAUUGUGAAUUAGUCUCAUCCGAUACGGGCAAAAGUGGUAGGGAAGAUCGGUCGGAAUGCAUAUCAGAGGAACACAAUGGAAGGGUCUCUGGGCCAUAACUGACACUGAGAGCGAAAGUGCGGGGAGCGAACAGGAUUAGAUACCCUGGUAGUCCGCACCGUAAACGGUGGGCACUAGUUGUGGGAACCUUCCACGGCUA
rnacentral:rRNA from 1 species